UUAGCUCAGUUGAUGCUUUAUAAUAAGAGCGCAGUUGGCUUUACUCUUAACUACCACAUUGGUCGAAGGUUCGAAUCCUUCACGGCCCACCA
rnacentral:tRNA from 1 species